rnacentral:lncRNA from 1 species
ACAGUGGUACGCGUGGGGUUUACGUAGGAUUUACGUAAGUGUCCUUCCGACCCGGAAGACAGUAGUGGGUGGUAGGUUACGCAGGAUUUACGUAAGUGUCCUCCCGACCCGGGAGACAAUGGUAGAUACUAGUUUACGUAGGUUUUACGUAAGUGUCCUGACUAUCCUGAGGACGAUGGUCUAUAGUCUAGUGAUUGCGUAAGUACGAGUAUUCAUUCCAUAUCAACAUUCCAACCCAAUUCCCAACCCGGGAAUCCCAUGCCUUGGCUGUGUGAACUCACCUUGGAUUGCUCGGCAGAUACACAAAGAGGGUUUCUUGAACUAAGGGUGGUCAACCUCGUCCUAACAGGGUUAUCAUACAAGUCAGGUUUUGACUUCAAGUAAUGCAUGUAUAAAUCAUAGUUAAUAAUCACGUUUUGAUCAUGGCAACAUCUUAGCAGUCAAGAGUAUAAUAAAAUCAUACUUGUGCGUUUAAAUUAUUAGCCCAAACGUAAUCGGCCCGAAUAUCAUAAUCAUUCAUGAGUGACUUGUGCGAUCCAAAGUCUAAGCCCAACGAUACCCGGCCCACAAGUAAGUAAUCAGUCCAAACAUACACGGCCCAAAGCAAUUAAACAACAUAUUGUGCGGCCCGGUUAACCUUGUGCGACCCGGUUAACCUUGUGCGACUAAGCUAGGUUGUGCGAUUGGCCUUUGGGCUUUGAGGCCCAAUACCAGCAGCCCAUGGUCAUACGCAGCCCAAUGGACGAUGUAGCUUGUACGACCCGGAUGGGCUUGUACGAUCCGGUAACCUUGUGCGAUCCGUACCAGCCCAGUCCGAUGUGCACGUCCGGCCCAACUUGUGACAGCUUGGGCGACUGAGGACUGCUUGUGCGCUCGGGUCCUCUUGUGCGAAUGGACAAGCCUUUGUGUGAUGGGGGUCUCUUGUGCGAUCAGAGCCCCUUGUGCGAUUAGUUUGAAUUUCCAGAAAUCAUGCAUUCAGUUACAAUCAUUCAACGAGUUUCCUUAUCUACACUUAUCAAUUAACAAGUUUCCAACUAUUCGUUUAGCAUAGAAUCGAUCAAACAAGGCAAUUAUCUUUUAAUCCAUAUGAACUCUCAUGAACCCUAGAUGAUCGAUAAUCAUGAACAAUCAUUCAAAACACCUUAAACAUAAUCAUCUAACGAUUUAAUCAUCAUGUAACACUUCAUAUUCAACCAUAAGCGAACCCGAUUUCACAAACAUAAAUCCGAUUGACACAUUAUCACAUCACAGCCGAUUUCUAUAUCUAUACAUCCGAUUCUAAGUUAAUUAACUCAUCCAAACGGUUGUGUAACAAAUCCGAAAACAUGACAUUCCAGCCGAUUAACAUUCAUACUAAUCUGAUUAUAUUUAUCAUCAUAACAAUCCAUCCGAGGACCAAGCAUAACAACAUAAUCGAAUCGGCCCUAGUUUAAUAACAUGCAACACUAAUCCGUUUAAUCUAAGUAUGUAAUCAUAACAUCACUUAACACGAAAGCAUAAACAAAACACUAACCGAUUACGAGUAAAGAAGUGUGAUCCGAACAAGAGGAUGAUCUUGUGCCGUCGGGUUCCAAGCAACACGAGAGAGAAAGAGAAAGUCUAGGGUUUGUGUGUGUGUUAUGAGAAUUGUAGCAAAUGAGAGAACAACCCCCUCUAAGGGUGUUUGUUUGCGUGAAAGGGGAGUGGGCCGAGCCCAACUCGGCUACUCAUUGAUCCGAAUGCAAGGUGUAACCCAAAUGGGCUUGUGCGAUUGAACGGUGUUGUGCGAUUCGGUCAAGUAAUGUAAUCACAUAAUCAUAACAUAAUAAAUACACUCACAUAACAUUAAACCAAUUAAUGUAGCACACAUAAGCAUGUAACGUUACAUAAAGUAAGUCUAAAGUUCGAGUUGUCACACCAACAGAGGCACCCCCUGUGUUUAGGUGGUUGAAAUAGCUGUUGCUACCGCUGAUGUAGCGGGAGACAACGUAAUCCCCAUUCCUAAGGGUGGGAACCUCGUUCUUGAAGACGUGGCGCCCGCCUGACCCCCUUCAUAUCCUGGAAGCAACUCAGCAUCAAGCUCGAGUGCUAAAGACCUAGUAACCGCUGGAGCUUGGACUGUAGUCGUAAUACUCGCCGCCGUUGUACCUCCUCCUUCAGCGACAGAAGUUAAUACGGUGCUAGAAAUUGCAACACUUACGUUCGAAGCACUCAUCGUGAUAACAGGCUCUUUAGUGUCAACCCCCAUUUAUGCCCGUUAUUUAAACAGUGACAUUUUAUUACAUAUGCGUAACAACUGCUUACAAAUUUACAUUAGAUUAGUUUAUUUUAAAUUUUAAAUAAGUAUAAUGAUAUAUAUUAAAUAAAUAACUUUUUGAUUAUUUGAUAGGAUUUAUACGGGUUUUCUUAUUUCACGUUGAAUUUUGUUUUAUCCUCUAUGUAAUAAUAUACACAAAAUAUGGAGGUGAAGUUAAGGGACAUGAUUUCAUUGAAUACUCCACCUCCUCAACUGCUUUUUGACAGGGCAUACUUAUGCAUUUAUUAGAUAUAGUUGGACAAUCUUCUUCGUGGCCCCAUCAACUUCUUUGAUUGGUUUUAUGAUAUAUCUUUCUUUUGGUACACCACCUUUAGUUUUUUGGAUUUAUACAUUUUACUAGUGAUAUUUUUCCGCGCUUCGCGGCGGACAUUAAGUCGGUAUCAAUUUGGUUUAUUACAGUACCUGUACUCGAUAUAGUAAUUGAAAGAGAAAGCACUGUAUCGGUCGAAAAAAAAACACAUAUUGAUAUGCUUUCGAUGAUAAGAAAACACAUAUAUGUUGUUCAGUUGAUAUCGGUUCGGUUCGCUUGCUUUAUGUUUAUUUUAUUGUUCCUGUUUGAUAACGGGUACUUUAAUCGUAUCUUAAAAGUUAUAUGAGAGACCAAAAUAUACUUAAAUCAAUUAAAGUAAUAAACCAAUAAAAUAAUAA